UACGUAGGUGGCAAGCGUUGUCCGGAUUUAUUGGGCGUAAAGCGAGCGCAGGUGGUUUAUUAAGUCUAGUGUAAAAGGCAGUGGCUCAACCAUUGUAUGCAUUGGAAACUGGUAGACUUGAGUGCAGGAGAGAAGAGUGGAAUUCCAUGUGUAGCGGUGAAAUGCGUAGAUAUAUGGAGGAACACCGGUGGCGAAAGCGGCUCUCUGGCCUGUAACUGACACUGAGGCUCGAAAGCGUGGGUAGCAAACAGG
rnacentral:rRNA from 1 species